GCUGAAGGAAUCUGCGGACACAAGGAGCUGUUACUGCAGCCUGGGCAGCAAAUGUCGAGGGGGAUGGAAACAGUUGUUCCUAUGAGGCUUGGUCUUGUGGUAAAGCUGGAGAAACUGUUACCACAGAGAAGGUGUUGAACACCCUGCAUUAUCGAACCUCAAGGCCCUCAGCAUCUGUCCUGGGUCCCUGCUGGGUCUGGCAUCACUCCCUCGUUCCUGAUCAGCUCCCCACAGAGAGAUGAGUCCUGUUCUGCCCCAUCUCAUCCUUCCAGGCUGCACCCAAGGCCAGGGAAGGUCCAAAAGGGCUGAGGGAGGGACGUGCCCAUCUCUGCACCCAGUGACAUCGCAAGGCCUGGACAUUUCCCAUGUGGGAGCUGUUCUGAGAGGCAACUCUGUGCACUGGGCGUGCCACGCAUCCUUUUAGGAGGUCAUGCCAUUAAUUCUCUGAGGGUGCCAGAAGCCUCUGAGCAAGGAAAGUGCUCUGUAAACACUCCCCAUCAAAUGUGCACACUCAGCUGAAGCAGGUGAUUAAUGAUGCUGGGGUUUUUGUUCCUUCCAUCCUGUGUUAACAGAGCCACUUCCCGGAUUUUCCAGCAGCCGCCAGAGCCCCACUGCCCAACCCUGGGACAACCCACGGCCAGGGCUGCUCCCACACUGUCAGGCUUUUCCCAGAAUUGAGUCUGGGAACCUUGAGGACAGAAAUGUGAUGCCAGGGUUUCACCUUCCUCUCCCAUAACCCUGAUUGUGGCACUGGUGCAAUGAGAAAACCCCCGAAUCGGUGUCUAAAUAAGAGCUGAGCAUUUAUGGACCCACCUCUUAAAAAGAAGUUUCCUCAGACCUUCCUGGACCUCAAGAAAUUAGCGGUUACCAGAAAGCCCAGCACCCUGUGCUGCACUUCCUCUGCUUUGGGGCUUGGAAGUGCCCAGAGCUGCCCCAGCCUCCCACAGAGGGAGCAACACAGAGGAAACUGAAGUCAUGGACACCUGAUAACCCUGCAGUUCCAAUGGCUCAGCCACGGAGCCAGGGGCAGGUCAGGAGACUUGGCCCAGCUCAGAGUGACGUGGCAGAGCCCCCAGUACAGCUCUGAGCAGUGGACCCACCUCAACCCCUAUUCCACCACCUGCUUGGGACCUCUCCUCCAUGGAUUCUGACCUUCCCCCACCCCAGAGGAGCACAGGAGCUGCUGCUGCACCAGCUUGCGUGCACAGGGCAGAAGGAGCAAGCCUACGCACCAGGAGUGUUUUCCACCCCACAGGAAGCCUUUGAAGGAACGAAGGGGAUGAUGGUUUUCCAGACUCGGGGGCCUGAACACCUUUCCUGGAAGCCGGUUGUGCUUCCUCCCGCAGGGCAGGCGCGGGGAUUUGUGCCGGGCAAUACUUUGUCCAGAGAUGUCGCUCAGGAAACAAAACAGUUCAGUGUGGAGACACAAACCACCAAGGGACGAGUGCUGGCUCCAGCACAGGAUACCCCCAGAGCCCCUCAGGUCGGGGUUUAACCCCAGGCUGUCACCACCAGAAGGGACAAGGCUUUGCCACUGCCCCAGCAAUCACCACACCAGGGGGAAGGGUGGUCAACAACAUCCUGCACUGCAACACCUGCCCUUUGUUCUCCAGCGAUGUCACACGAGACAAGUUGGAGGUUUUCUCUCAAUUAAAGAUGGAAACAAAACAAAAGCUAGUUCCAGUCCAGAGGAAAUACAUACAGAAGCAACAGGCUGUGUAAUGGCUCAUUUUUCCAGGAUACCAUCCAUCAAGCACCAGUUCCCAUCCCAGAGCUGAUUUGGAUUGUUUAUAAUUUCUGGGAUUAUAUUAGUCACCUAGGACGUUCCUCAGCCACCACAAAGAGUGUUUAAAUGAGUCAGAUUAGAUCUAAAUUAGGCCUGGCUGAAAAUUAAGACAAUAGAGUCGGGGCUACUAAAAACCAGUGCAGGAGGAGGCUCCAGUGGGGCAGGCAGGAGUCAGGGACCUGCUUCCCAUCCUGGGCUGGGGCAGGGACUGUCAGCCCCGACCCAACUCUCCCAAACCUGUCCCACAUUUUCACAUAAUUCUCAACGGGCAUUUCAAUUCUGGGCAGAAGCUGCCUGAUACCACUGGUGAUGGAGAGGAACAAGGACAGAGACCUUCGACACAACAGGAAAGCAGCAGUUUAAUAAAUAAUCCAUCAGAGGCAGAGAUUAGCCAGUUCCAAACACAACUUGAACCGAAAUAAAUACAUUUUAUCAUUAGCUUAAAAAAGAGACACACAAACGCACGUGAUGGUGAACUGUGAGAGAGCAGAGGUGGGGCCCAGUGCCCACGCUUAAAGAUACCACAGCUGUCAACAGCCUUUGGAGUGCAGAAAAAUAAUAAAAACAGGGAAGUAAAAAGUUACUACUUUGCAAAAUUAAUGGCAGAAGAUAAAGCAAUGGUGUAACUCAGGUUUUUAAUGCAACAAGAGCAGUUGAAACUCACUUGACCUGCCAGGACUGCUGACAGGCUAUUGAGAUGAUUUUUGCCUUGUGUUUGGGCAUUGCUGUUACCAUCCCAGAUUUUAAGUCCUUGCAGAAAAUUCCUGGGAAUCCCAAUGUUAAACAGCCAGGCUCAGGCACUGCACAGCAGAUCAAGCAGAUUUUAAGAAACUCCUUUUUAAAAAGUUGCAUUUUUAUAUAAAGUAACAAGAAUUGGCAAAAUUAGCUGAAUGCUCCAUGCAGCCUUUCCAGCCUCCACGUGGGAUGCUGCAGAAGCACCGGCCCUUCAGAACAAGUCGUUCUUCAUUUGGCUCCGGUAACUGCGGCUCCAGCACCGCCUGGCCCAGCUCCUGCUCUGCCACAUCAGAGCAGUGCAGGGGUCACAGCCCUGCGCCGAGGGAAGGGGAGGCUCCGGGCCGAGGCCCCACCCAGCCAGGUGAGAGGAACCCCACUUGGGUGGGAAGGAAUCUCUGCUUGGCCCAGCCUCAGAGAGCCCCUGCUCCCAGCUCUGCACGCCAGCACAAGCCACCUUUCUGUUGGUAAUGGCACCUGUAGAUGUCCUGCUGCUGCCUGGUGCUGUGCCCCCCUCCAUCCACUCACUGCCAUAUCCCCACCCCAGCUUCCCAGUGCUGUACCCCACUGGUGCCCAGUGCCAUCACCAGUGACAGCACAGCUGGCCACCAACCAGGCCACAGCCCCUGAGCUGGCAGUCACCUGCUGGCCCCGAGUUUGGGGGCUGACAAAGAGACCAAAACACUCCAGGCCCACGAUGCACAGUCAGCAUGGCCAGAAGCUCAGGGGUCACAUCGUGAGGGACAUGACCGGGGAGGGAAGAUUGCUGGACAGUUCUGGGGUCUGAGAGGCCACAGGCAGUAGCAGUGGUGAGAGGGAAUGGGACCAGAAACACAAUUGGUUUCAAUAAACUAUGCAAUAAGGGAGAGGACUUUUAAAAAUAUAUCUCUAUAUACUUUAUAUCAUAUAAAUUAUGCUCAUUCUUUUGUAACGUGUCGCUAUAUUGUACCCGUGAAGCUCCGACUGCCUCCGUGUGAGCGAGGUAACAAUUCCAUGUUUUACUUCAUCUGUGUGUGAGGGAAAAACCUACUUCAGCUCACUUUGAUCCACUGUAAAUCAACAGAUUGCUGGGACUUGGUGAAAGUCCCAUCUAAAAAAGGCAUUUUUGUGAGGAACAUAGAGGUGGGAGAACUGAUGCUUGGAAGUGCAAGUGACAGGAUUUCCUUCAGGAUAAAAGCUUGUCAUGCACACACAGUACUGACCAUCCCACUAAUGUUUGGGAAUUGGGAGUGUCACCACAAGGAGCUUGGGGAAAAAAGGAGUCACGGCAGGUCAGGGAAGUUCCUGCUGGCUCUGCUCCCCAGACCUGCAGCCAGACCCACCUCAGCAUCCCUCAGUGUUCCAGCUGCUCCUAGUUCUGAGCACAGGAGCUGCCACCAGGCCAGAUCAAUGCAAAACAAACUGUCAAUUCUUUCACUUAAACACCCACCUCUGACAACCAAAUGGCAUCUGCAGUCGCUGCUGUGUAUCUGCAAAGAUCCACAAUGUAAAGGGCCAGCACUGCCUCCCUUUCAGCUGCUCGCCCCUGGGUAACCUUCCCCAAACCCACAGAGAGGGGACUGCAGCCAGAGAACAGCCAAUGCAAGACUGCUUUGGCUGCUGCACCCUCAAUUCCUUUAACAAAGGAUUCCUCAAGUGACCUCAGUUUGGUCCUUACUUCCCAGAACAGCUCAAUGCCACCACUUCUUAUCUACUCAAAUUAGAACAAUUGUUUCCUACCCUCUGCCACAUUUCUAUAAACAACCACACAUUCCCUGUAUGCCUCAGCUCCUUUCACAAUGCUCCAAGCACCUCCUGCUCUUUCUGAGCACAGCUGAGCCUGCAGCAGAGGUUGCAGUUCCACUGUUCCAUAAAGCCUCCUCAGCAGGCUCAGAAAUACCACAUGGAAUCCAAACCCUUAAGUCCAAAUCAACACAA